rnacentral:rRNA from 1 species
ACGAACGCUGGCGGCGUGCUUAAUACAUGCAAGUCAACUUGACUUUAGGUAGCAAUAUCGAAAAGUAGGGUGGCGCACGGGUGCGUAACGCGUAGGUAAUCUGCCCUAAGGUCUGGCAUAACUGUCGAAAGACAAGCUAGCAUCAGAUGAUAUAAAAUCACGACAUCGUGGAAUUAUCAAAUCUUCGGAGCCUUGGGAUGAGCCUGCGUCUGAUUAGGUAGUUGGCGGAGUAAUAGCCCACCAAGCCUACGAUCAGUAGCUGGUCUGAGAGGAUGAUCAGCCACACUGGAACUGAGACACGGUCCAGACUCCUACGGGAGGCAGCAGUAAGGAAUAUUGCUCAAUGGGGGGAAACCCUGAAGCAGCAACGCCGCGUGAAGGAUGAAAUACUUUUGUAUGUAAACUUCUGUAAGAUGGGAAAAAUAUUCUCCUCGGGAGAAUUGAUUGUACCAUCAGAGUAAGCCCCGGCUAACUACGUGCCAGCAGCCGCGGUAAUACGUAGGGGGCAAGCGUUGUCCGGAUUCACUGGGUGUAAAGGGUGCUCAGGCGGACUUGUAAGUCAGAGGUGAAACUCCGAAGCUUAACUUCGGAACUGCCUUUGAUACUGCAAGUCUCGAGUACGGGAGAGGGGUAAUGGAAUAACAGGUGUAGCAGUGAAAUGCGUAGAUAUCUGUUAGAACACCAAUGGCGAAGGCAGUUGCCUGGCCCGUUACUGACGCUAAGCACGAAAGUGUGGGUAGCAAACAGGAUUAGAUACCCUGGUAGUCCACACCCUAAACGAUGAGAACUAGUUGUUGGCCCUUUUAAGGGUCAGUGACUUAGCUAACGCAUUAAGUUCUCCACCUGGGAAGUACGAUCGCAAGGUUGAAACUCAAAGGAAUUGACGGGGGCCCGCACAAGCAGUGGAGCAUGUGGUUAAUUCGAUGCAACGCGAAGAACCUUACCUAGGCUUGAAACGCAAGUUAAAUUUGGUGAAAGCCAUUGUCCCGCAAGGGGAACUUGUACAGGUGCUGCAUGGCUGUCGUCAGCUCGUGCCGUGAGGUGUUGGGUUAAGUCCCGCAACGAGCGCAACCCUCGUCCUUAGUUGCCAGCAAGUAAUGUUGGGCACUCUAAGGAGACUGCCUACGCAAGUAGUGAGGAAGGUGGGGAUGAUGUCAAGUCCGCAUGGCCCUUACGCCUAGGGCCACACACGUGCUACAAUGGUCACUACAAAGGGUUGCAAUGCCGCAAGGUGGAGCCAAUCCCUAAAAAGUGAUCUCAGUUCGGAUUGGAGUCUGCAACUCGACUCCAUGAAGCUGGAAUUGCUAGUAAUCGCUGAUCAGAACGCAGCGGUGAAUACGUUUCCCGGGCCUUGUACACACCGCCCGUCAAGCCAUGGAAGCUGGGGGUACCCGAAGUCGCCUUUAACAAGCGCCGAAGGUAAAACCAGUGACUGGGGCU